GACGAACGCUGGCGGCGUGCUUAACACAUGCAAGUCGAACGGAAAGGCCCUGCUUUUGUGGGGUGCUCGAGUGGCGAACGGGUGAGUAACACGUGAGUAACCUGCCCUUGACUUUGGGAUAACUUCAGGAAACUGGGGCUAAUACCGGAUAGGAGCUCCUGCUGCAUGGUGGGGGUUGGAAAGUUUCGGCGGUUGGGGAUGGACUCGCGGCUUAUCAGCUUGUUAGUGGGGUAGUGGCUUACCAAGGCUUUGACGGGUAGCCGGCCUGAGAGGGUGACCGGCCACAUUGGGACUGAGAUACGGCCCAGACUCCUACGGGAGGCAGCAGUGGGGAAUAUUGCACAAUGGGCGGAAGCCUGAUGCAGCAACGCCGCGUGCGGGAUGACGGCCUUCGGGUUGUAAACCGCUUUCGCCUGUGACGAAGCGUGAGUGACGGUAAUGGGUAAAGAAGCACCGGCUAACUACGU
rnacentral:rRNA from 1 species